rnacentral:tRNA from 3 species
GGAGAGAUGGCUGAGUGGUUGAUAGCUCCGGUCUUGAAAACCGGCAUGGUUUUUUAUUAAGAACUAUCGAGGGUUCGAAUCCCUCUCUCUCCU